CCUACGGGUGGCAGCAGUAGGGAAUAUUGGGCAAUGGGCGAAAGCCUGACCCAGCAACGCCGCGUGCACGAUGAAGGCCUUCGGGUCGUAAAGUGCUUUUCUGAGGGAUGAGAAAGGACAGUACCUCAGGAAUAAGCCUCGGCUAACUACGUGCCAGCAGCCGCGGUAAAACGUAGGAGGCGAGCGUUAUCCGGAUUUACUGGGCGUAAAGCGUGUGUAGGCGGUACGGCAAGUUGGAUGUGAAAGCUCCUGGCUUAACUAGGAGAGGUCGUUCAAAACUACCGAACUUGAGUUUAUCAGAGGAAGAUGGAAUUCCCGGUGUAGUGGUGAAAUGCGUAGAUAUCGGGAGGAACACCAGUGGCGAAAGCGAUCUUCUGGGAUAAUACUGACGCUCAGACACGAAAGCUAAGGUAGCGAACGGGAUUAGAUACCCUUGUAGUC
rnacentral:rRNA from 1 species